CCUGCUGGAGAUGGGGGAGUUCUUUCAGAUUCAGGUAGGAAGGCAGGAGGCAGUAGCAGAGAAUACCAGCUUCACUCCUCCUCUGCCUAGGAACCUCAUCCUUCCUCUUUUGCUGCCCUCCCCCUCCCUGCCCAGGAUGAUUACCUUGACCUCUUUGGGGACCCCAGUGUGACCGGCAAAAUUGGCACUGACAUCCAGGACAACAAAUGCAGCUGGCUGGUGGUUCAGUGUCUGCAACGGGCCACUCCAGAACAGUACCAGAUCCUGAAGGAAAAUUACGGGCAGAAGGAGGCUGAGAAAGUGGCCCGGGUGAAGGCGCUAUAUGAGGAGCUGGAUCUGCCGGCUGUGUUCUUGCAAUAUGAGGAAGACAGUUACAGCCACAUUAUGGCUCUCAUUGAACAGUACGCAGCACCCCUGCCCCCAGCCAUCUUUCUGGGGCUUGCGCGCAAAAUCUACAAGCGGAGAAAGUGA
rnacentral:sRNA from 1 species